rnacentral:tRNA from 1 species
GGUUCCGUAGUGUAGUGGUUAUCACGUUCGCUUACCACGCGAAAGGUCUCCGGGUUUGAUCCGGGCGGAACCA